rnacentral:rRNA from 1 species
GGGAUGACGUCAAGUCCUCAUGGCCUUUAUGUCCAGGGCUACACACGUACUACAAUGGAUGGCACAAUGAGUCGCAAACUCGCGAGAGGGAGCCAAUCUCAAAAAACCAUUCUCAGUUCGGAUUGCAGUCUGCAACUCGACUGCAUGAAGCUGGAAUCGCUAGUAAUCGCUGAUCAGCAAGCAGCGGUGAAUACGUUCCCGGGCCUUGUACACACCGCCCGUCACAUCACGAAAGCCCGUUGUACUAGAAG